rnacentral:rRNA from 1 species
UACGUAGGGUGCAAGCGUUUAAUCGGAAUUACUGGGCGUAAAGCGUGCGCAGGCGGUGAUGUAAGACAGAUGUGAAAUCCCCGGGCUCAACCUGGGAACUGCAUUUGUGACUGCAUCGCUGGAGUGCGGCAGAGGGGGGAUGGAAUUCCGCGUGUAGCAGUGAAAUGCGUAGAUAUGCGGAGGAACACCGAUGGCGAAGGCAAUCCCCUGGGCCUGCACUGACGCUCAUGCACGAAAGCGUGGGGAGCAAACAGG